rnacentral:lncRNA from 1 species
ACCACCUCAUACCCUACCUCCCUAACCCUAUCCCACGUCACACCCCCUUUUUUUUCUUGUCCAAAAAGAUAGGACCAAAAAAAAAAAAAAUACAAUGUAUAUAUACACAGAUACACACAAAACAAGAGAGCAGAUAGAGAGCAUAGAAAAAGAAAAAAAGAAUCAGCCCCUUCUCUCUCUAGACUCUACUCUCUCUCUCUCAAAAACUUCGCCGGCGACCGCUGCCUCUCCGUCCGACCAACGACAGCGGCAAUAACGCCGUCGUUACCGUCUCUCUCCUCUCGAAACCAACGUCCUGUCCCAACAAAUCAGAGAGAACCUCCGUCGCCGGCGAAAUAGUCCGCCUUCCUCCGUUCGCCGGCGAAACAGUCACCAUCCGGCGAAGACGCCGCCGUCGUUUCAACCAUAACGACGACGGUCGGCCCACCCACGCCGACGCCAGAGAUGGCGCCACACCGCUCCUCCGUCACCGCCUAGAUCUGCCGCCGCCGGCACCAAAUAAAACCCCCAUCGCCGCCGGAGAAGAAAGCAAAACCAGAUGCUGCUCUGCCGCCAGCAGUCGCUGCUCCGGUUGCGGCGCAUCGACCACUGGCUCUAGCCGCAGGUCACCGAAGCUUGAUCUGCGUCUGGGUUUUGGGUUCCUGUUGUUUGAUUGGGGGUUUUGGUUUCGUCUAAUUCCUGGUUUGUCGUCAAAAUUGGAUUUCGAGUUGUCGUUAUCAAUCGCGUCGUCGUUAUUGUUUGGGUUUCGUAUAACAAAGUUUGUUUCACUGAUUUUGAAGUUGUCCUAUUAGUUUUCCCUAUACUGAGUUGGAUUCAUUGCGAUCGAGGUUCUCCGGUCGAGUAUUUUGGUCUUCGGAUUUCUUUAUUAUCGUCAAGAAUCAAUUUCAUCGAGGUCCAUUUCUUCUAACCGAAUCUUUAAUUUAUUUGACUUUUCAUGAUGUUGUGGGUGUGGAUGAUUUAUUUGUUGCCUGUUUGGUAUGUUCGAAUAUGUGUUAUGUGUUGGUUGAUGUUGGUUUCGGAACUUUGAAAAGUGAAUUGAUAAAUCGAAGCAUGUUUAAUCAUAUUGUUUGAAAUAAAUUUGGUGACGGGAAUCAAAAAUUGAUAAAAGUAAAUAUCUUGAUAUUUUUGAUGCAUUGUUGAUGUUGAAUGCGGUACGUUGUCGAGCGGGUAGGCAAAUAGUAAGCUCUGGGUAGGCAAGUUUAGGAUUGGUGCAGUGUUGGAAUGAUUGGAAUACUUGUUGAAUGUCUUGUUUAUCGUAUUUGGAAAGUGUAUUUAUUUAAUCGGGGAAUGCCCCGAGGUAAUUUGUAUUUACUCAUCGGGGAAUGCCCAGAGGAAUCUUGUAUGCAAAGGAUGCUCGUGAUCAAGACCCGAGGCAUCGGGUAAAGCAUAGUUAGGACUAGUGUAGGUUAUUUCAGUAUUUUUAUUUCGGGUUGUAAUAAUUGGAUUGGACUUUAUAUUUUUGUUUUGUCUUUGUUAUUGUUUAAUUAUUUUGCGUGCUUUUUGUGUAGUGUAUGCAUUCGUAACGUCAAUUUAGCCGAUACGCUCUACUAAGCGACCGUGGUUGAACCCGAUACGCUCUACUAAGCGACCGUGGUUGAACCAUGGGAUCGAGGGAUGUCUAACACCUUCCCCUCGGUCAACAGAAUUUCUUAGCCGGAAUCUCUGUUCGCAAAUCAGUUUAAGAGUCAAAUGGUUUUGAAAAGGAUUUUCCAAAGGUGACUUGGCACACCGAAUUAUGCCAAGUGGCGACUCUGAAUAAAAAAAAUGUAAAAAAUCUUUUUCCGAAAUAAAUUUUCAUUUCUUGUCACUUAAAUAGUAAAGCCCUUUUGAACUUUAAAAUAUACAUUUUUUGGAGUACGUAAAAAGGGGUGUGACAAUUGGGUUGGGUCGAGUUUAUUUAUUUGAUGAAUUUUAAAAAGAAAUUAUACACGUGGAUGCUGAUGUGGAAUGUAUAAUUGACUUUUUUUAUCUAGGUGACGUCUUUGGUGAACUUCUGUUAGAAGGGUAUUUUUGAACCAAAUAUUUAAUAGAGGAGUAUUUUUUAGCCAAAAAACUAACGAGGGGUAUUUUUGAUCCAUUUCAGGUAAUUCAGGAAUAUUUUGGAUCCUUUUCCUUUUAAAAAAUUAUAUAAAAUAAGGUUCAAUUAACUUGCACACAUCUCUGAACAUUUUAAUUGUAUACCUACAACUUAAUUCUCUUAAAAGUUAAAAAGAACUAUCUCUUUACUUUUUUAUAUUCUAACCUUUUUUUUUUUUGACAAAAUUAUGAUUUUCACUAACGAUUAUGCGUGUAUGAUGACAGUUUGUGUAGUAGAAGAAAAAUGUACACGUUCGAAUUAUUACAAUCGCGUAUGCAGUGAAAUAUCUCCAUUUGCUAAUGAAGUAUGCGAAGCUUUUUGCAUUAAACGAUUUGGAAAAAAAUUGUGAAGCAAAAUGUAUACCUUUUUGUAUGUCCCUAAAAAUAAGGAUUGUAUUUGGUUAUUUCUCUGGAAAUAAUUAAUUUCCUACCUUUUAAUAAUUUCAAUUAUUAUAUUGAAAAGUAAAGUUUUAUCCUCUUCGUCUUAAUUGAUGUCAUGUUUCUUUUUAUUUAUUAUUAAUGUUACGUUAAAUUUGUGCUUAUUUCAAUCAACAGAGAUAUUUUUUAAGUGUGUUUAUGAAUAAAGAGUUGCUUCACUACAACUAAUAUAAUAUCAUCAUAUUGGUACCAUUCUAAAAGUGAAAACCAACAAAAGUGAGAAAGUUAAAUAAUUAAGAUAUCUAUUAAAAGUUGAACGACUUUUUUUUAAGCUAAAUUAAUUAUCCUGUGGUAAGGCUUGGACAAGUAAUUUCAGCUGAUUGUGUUUUUAUUUGGAAGAUAAUUUUUUUGUUGAAAAUUAUUAAUGAAAGAGAAUAUUUUAAUGAUUGGAUGGUGCUCAAUUCAAACAUGUGAUUAAGUGCAAACAUGUGAGCAUGAUCGUAUCUUAGUAUUUUCCGGUAGCCGAUAUUCUUGGUGUGUGUUCUAUAUUUUAUAUUUUGAUUACUUUGGCAUAUCCAAAUUUUAUUAGAAAGAUUAUAAUGCCAAACUAAGGCUAAAUAUCAAAUGAUCAAUCGAAUACAUAUUCCACAAACAAGUUAAAUACAAGAAAAUUGUGUUAACACCACAAAAGAGAUUGUCUGCUAGCAGACUAAACCAAGAAAAACAAGAUCGAGGAUAUCAAAUUAUCCUCAUUUAUAUGUGCUAAAUCUAUAAUGAGUAGAAAUCUCACUCACGACCUAAACAACGAGCAAACAUUCGAAUAUGAGGGCAAGGAUCACCCAUGGACGAGUUAAAAGGAGGAAGGGAGGUAAGAACCAUGUUUUCAGAGAUCUAAUUCGGUCCAAUUCAAAUCUUAUCUGAACUGCGAGAAUAAUUUAUUAAGUCGUGCCAUAAGGGGUGAUUCUCCAAAUGGAACGGGGCCAAGCCUUUAAUUAGGUUGUUCAAGCUAAGUAGGUUGGGUGACAGAUCGGUCGUAGGAACCUAGGCAAUGAAAAAAGGGCCCAUUACUUCAACUAGAGGAGUGAUCAGUUGGUUUACUGAACACAUAAAAAGCUAAAAUUGGAAAAAGAUAAACGAGGUUUUAGAAGAUCCAAAUGUACCCAACAUAUCCUUAGCUAAAAGGUGUUGCUCGAAGGGAGAAAAUGUUGGAAAAAUCAUGUAAUAUAAAAAUAAGUAUUACAAAAGGUCCUUAAUAAUUAACAAUCGAUCAUGAUACUGCCUAACUUGAUUAUUUGUAACUCCUACUUUAUCCAACAUAAAUAAAAGAUGUUGAAAGUAAUUAGGUCAGUGAAAAAUGUAACGAUUUUGAAUUUAUGCAAGUGCUCUCAAUAUUUUAAGAUAAGUUUUAAAAUGUUAAAUUAUUCAAUUAAUUUAUUUAAUGGGCGGUAUUUAAUUUUCUUUUGUAAUAGUUUUCAUUUAUUAGAAGGUAAUUUCACUUCUUUUGUUUUUUGUUCAAAAUUAUUAAUAAGAAUAAUGUUUAAGUGAAGAGUAAAAUAGUCUCGUUCUGAACAUAAUUAAGUGAAGGGUAAAAUAAGUUAAAAACAUUCACAUAUUUUAAAGGAAAAAUUUCAGAAAUAGCAACUAUAGUGUUGGAAUGUUAAUGCAUACAUUAGUUUAAUGUAUAUUAGUAGUACCUUGUUUGGUAUAUCGGUUUACCCUAUGUAUGCGUUAGUUAUGCACUCUAUUGUGUAUUGAGGUAUGUAUUACUAAUACUUCAAAAUCCAUGACAUUAGUACUGCAACGGAUCUAAUGUAUGCAUUAAUAUGCUUAAAGACCCUAUUACCCCUCAAAAAGUUUUCCACAUCCUUUCCAAUAUAUAUAUUGAGGGUAUUAUGUAAAAAAAAAUAAAAAAAUUUAGAAAUUAUGCGAUUCAUGUUUUCUUUAAUACAUCGAACCAAACACUGCAUAAGAAAAAUACAGACAUAACUAAUGCAAGCAUAACUAACACACACAUUAUUAAUACACCAUAUUUUACAUUAUUCUUAUACACUAUACCAAAUGAUCCCUUAGUGUUUUAAAACUAAAAUCUUAUUCAAUCCUAACAAUUUAUUGAAUUUGGUAUAUAUGCAUGUAGGUAAAUGCCGUGUAUUAUAUAGAUUAUUAUUUUCGUAAAUCAGAACAUCUUUAGUGAGUAAUAGAUUACCUUCCAAAAAUAGUGAAUCAAGAUUGGCUAUUGAUCUUUUUCCAAGUCCUUGAGAAAUGUCCAAAUUAAAAUUUUAAUAGAGACACUUAAUUUGCAGGAAAUCAGAUUUAACUUCUGAUAUUAUAUGAAGUCUUCAAAUUAAAAUUUUUAAUAGAAAUAGUUACUUAUCAAUUUUUUGGAAAUCAGAUUUAACUAUUGGUAUAUUAUGUCAAGUCUUUAAAGAAAGGUCCAAAUUAAAAUUUUAAUAGAGACACUUAAUUUGCAGGAAAUCAUAUUUAACUACUGAUAUUAUAUCAUGUCUUCAAAGAAAUAUCCAAAUUAAAAUUUUUAAUUGAGAUAGAUACUUAUCAUUUUUUAGAAAAUCAGAUUUAACUAUUGAUAUAUUAUAUCAAGUUUUUAAAGAAAGGUCCAAAUUAAAAUUUGAUUAAGAUACUUAUAAUUAGCCUAACUUGUAUAUAAACAUGGAGAGUGUGCCCAAAAAACUCAUAAAUCAUAUACACUACAUUAUUUUUUAUUGGUGAUAGAAAAAUGGCAAUGUCUCCAAAAACUUUUUUGAUCUUUCUUGUUCUUGCUGCCACUGCAUUAGUUAUCUUUUUUUCUACAAUAAAUUAUUAUAGUCAAAUUGUAUAGGGUUCAAAUAUACAAUUUGUUAUAAUUUUAGUAAAAUUUUGCACAUAAACUUAUACUAUCAGUUAAAAAUAUUAGGUUCAAAUGAAUGCAGUGUUAAAACACUACAUCCAUCCUUAGUAAUUAUUAUUACUAAUGUUUUUAUUUAUAUUAAAGAAAGUAAAAUUAACUCUUACAAAUCUCUGAGCAUUAUAGUUUUUUUUUUUUUGGUAAAGAAGGAGCAUUGAAUUAAAUUGCACAAUUUGUUACAAGCAUUGCCCACUAAUCAAUCGGGUUCAAAAACAUCCGCAUCGAAAUCUUGAUAGUUUAAUGUUUCUGCUAAAUUGAGUUCCUAAAAUGUCUGCCUAGACAUGCUCUGGUGCAUACAUAGGCGGAACUGCCAAAAUAUGGGUGUUGCCAAAAAUUUUCAUCCUUGCUCCUUCCUUUGAUAAAGAGUGUCACUUAGUUCUGCUCCCUAAAACAAUGGUUCACCAGUGGAAGUCCCACCCUUCUCAGCACUGACCUACAAGCAUCAAUGAUUGGGUUAUAGUGAAGAUUUUCAUGUUCAAGCAUGUGGAUUAUCUUUUUGGGAUCAACAUUAAUUUCAAGAGGAUGGAGGUUGUUAGCUUCUGCUAACUUCAGGCCUUCCAGAAGAGCAAUCACCUCCAUUUGGUUGUUGAUUGCUUUGGAAAUUUCUUACAGAACCCCAGUAUCUAGCCCCCCUUGUCAUUUUUAAUUGUGCCUUCUAUACCUUCAAUUCCGGGGUUUCCUAGGCAUGAACCAUCGAUAUUAAGUUUAUAGGAGCCUCUUGAAGAGGUGUUCCAUUUAAAGGAAACAAAGAUGGUUUGGGGGGCUUGAGUUUGUGGAGUGUUAGUCAGGUAAGUAAACUCCACAGCUGCAGCAUAUGCAUUCUCAAACUUGGGUAAAGCAUUGAGAUUUUUAAAAACGUUCUCAUUCCAACAUUUUAAAACCCCCGAAACACAGAAAGCAGUUAAGACAUCAAGACUAAUGUGGUUGUCAAAAGGGGUGUUACGAAACAGGUCUUGGUCUCAUCACGCAUGUCAUCAUCUGUGGCAUUUAGGAGGUUGGGUCUUGGGCAUCCCAUUUUUGUGAAUAGGCAUGUCCAGAUGGAAGAUGUUUGAGGGAAAUCCUAGAACAGAUGGACAAUGAUUUCAGGAAUGGUAUUACAUUUCCAACAGUUGGGCUAUAUAGGCACUCUCGUCUUAUUGAGGGUAAAGUUACACGAUAACCUAUUAUGAUCGAGAAGCCAAAGAAAGUGUUUGAUCUUGUUGGGAAUUUUCAUGGACUAGAUCCAUUUGAAUUCUUUAAAGUUGGCGUGUUUUUUAUUUCCAGUGCUGAUAAAUUUAUAAAGGCUGCUACUGGUAAAGAUGCUAUUGACAGUUAAUCCCCGGAUAGGGUAAUCAUUGGGAGUCCUAAUAGUAAGGAAGAAGCUGCUUUGGAUAGUGGAGAGAGGAAGCUCAAAUGGGAGGGAAGAGAAGUCCCAAGUACCAUUCCUCCAAAUAUCUGAGACUUUGAUUUGGUGGAGAUUUCUAGUUGCAGGCCUCUGAAUAGUAUUAGAGAGAGGCUUAGUGUUAGGUAACCACUUAUCAGUCUAGAAACUAACUUGGUCUCCCUUGUUGAUGAUCCAAAAGGUGGCCUCUUUGCAAAUUCUUUUUUCAUUAAUGAUGCAUUUUCAAAUUCUAGAAACCGAACUAUUGUUGUUAAUUUGGGAGUAUUUGUUGACUAAAACCCUUGACCAAAGAGUCUGGGGGGUUUUAAUGAGCCUCCAUGCUAGAGAGGUGUGCAUAGAAGUGUUCUUUAGACUAACUUUUUGGAUUCCCAACCCUCCCAUGUAUUUGGGUUUAGUGAUCACCUCCCAGCUGAGCACAUGCAUUUUUUUUUAGCAUCAAUGGUGUCCCAAAUGAAAUUCCUUUGGAUUUUGUCUAUGUGAUAGUUGGUUCUGUGGGGAAUAGAGGUGUAUUGCAUAACAUGGUUAGGCAUGAUGUUAAGAGAGGCCUUUGCAAGAGUGAUUCUACGAGACUACAACUCAACUUGCUUAAUAUGUAAAUAUAUCUAUCUAUCUAUCUAUCUAUCUAUCUAUCUAUCUAUAUAUAUAUAUAUAUAUGUAUAUAUAAAAAAAAACUAUUUUCGAUAAAAAAAAUUGAUCUUAUCACUAAUGAAGUGCAUAUAAUGACAGGUUGUGUAUCUGAUGAACAUUGUCAUAAUUCAUGUUCCUCAUAUUACAGUAAACUAUGCCUAGAUAUUACUAGCAAUAAUGCAUGUAAAGUUUUUUGCUCAAGAUAUUACUAGCAAUAAUGCAUGUAAAGCUUUUUGCUCAGGACGAUUUGGAAGAAUUUGAUUUGGAAGAAUUUGUGAUGCAAGAUGUACGAUAGAUGACAAAGAUUUUGUUUGUGAAUGUCUCCUUCCAGAAGAUGAAUGUCCCUAAAAUUAAAUAAGGGUUGCAUUUAAUUUGUUUUCCUUUUCUCUUUUGCUAUUUUUCUUGAAAUAAUUAAUUUCCUACCUUUUAAUAAUUUGAAUUCUUAUAAUGCAAACUAAAAAUAAUUAAUUUAAUAAUUUUACUAUUAUAAAUUAAAAAAAUUGUGUCGUUAAUGUUAUAAAGACUAUUUCAAAAUUUUACUACUAGAUGUGUUAGCUGUGACCCAAAAAAGGGAUUAUGAUAGAAAAUUAACCCACGGUACUUUAAGUGUCUUAUUUUAUUUUUAAAAAUAAAAAAUCAUCAAAUAAUCAUUUUUCUCUACCGUUGUCCUUUUCCUUUAUUUUUUGGUUAAAAGGAGAAUUUACCUAUUUAACAACUAUAACGCCGAAUCAAUCAUUAGAUAAAAGAAACUGACUGAAUUUUGGGCCUUCCAUAAGGUGAUCACUUUAGUUUUAAAAAAUAGUAGAAAAAAGAAUAAAUACUUUGGUCCUUAUACGUCUAAAUUUAAUGAAAAUUUAUGUUAAAAAAGACAACACAAUACGCUAAGAUUUUCACUUUACGCCGAAUUCAAUAUAAUGUCCGAUCAUAAAAAUUUAUUAUAUACAAUCUUAAAUUAUAGUGCAAGAGAUAAUGUUCAAUGCUUGACGUAUAAAUCACAUCAUAUCGAAACUCACAUCAAUAUGGGGUGUAAAUCAGAGACAUUUUUGACUAAGUAAAAGCAUCACUUUGAUUUUUCAUUUAAUUUUAAAGCCAUAUUUAUAAUUUUUUUUAAUAGACAUAUUUAUAAUUUUUGAUUUACUGUCCAAAUUAAUUUUUUAAAAUUAAAAAAAAAAAGAUUAUAUGGCUAUUAAUUUUUUUUCAAGAUUAUAAAUCUGGCUAUAAAAAUUUUGGAAAGCCAUAUUUAUAAUUUUUUAUUAACUAUCCAAAUUAAUUGUAUUAACUGUCCAAAUUAAGAUUUUAAUAGCCAUAUUUAUAAUUUUUGUAUGAUAUCAGAAUUAACUAUUAAUAUGUCAAGUUUUUAAACUUAUAAUUAGCCUAACUUGUAUAUAAAUAUGGAGAGUGUUCAUUGUAAACUCACAAAUCAUUGAGACUACAUAAAUUACUCUUUCUUUCUCUUUAUUUUUUUUAAUCGGUGAUAGAAAGAUGACUAUAUCCUCAAAAAUCUUUGUGAUCUAUCUUGUCCUUGUUGCAAUUGCAUCAGGUAUCCUUAUUUUUUCAUGUAAAAGAAUUAAUAUAUCCAAAAACAUAGAAUCAAUAUUUAAAUUUUGUUGGCUUAAUCUUUAAGUUGUUAUGCUAAAUUUAUAUUCUUAAAAUUUUAGGCAAAGGUAUACUAUUUUUUGUAUUUUGAUGAAUUUCUACACAUAUAUUUAUAUAUUAUUAGUCAAAAAUAUUAAGUUCAAAUGAAUACAGUGUUACAAUAUCACAUCUAUCCUUAAUAGUUAUAGUUUAAUUCUUUAUUUAUUAGUUAACUUGUGCACAUCUCCAAGCAUUAUAGUUAUAUAUCUACAACUCAUAAAUUUAAACUAUUAAUUAAAAUGCUAGUUCAUUUAAUUAUGUCACUAACCAUUGUGUAUUUAAUGACAGGUUGUUUAGCGCAGGACAAAUGUACAUGUUCCAAUUAUUAUAAUAAAAUAUGCAAAGACCUAUCUUUUGCUGCUAAUCGUGUAUGUGAAGGUUUUUGUACUGAACGGUUUGAAAAAAUAUGUGGAGCAAGAUGUGUACAAGAUGAUGAUAUUGUUUGUGAAUGUAUUAUUUCAGGAGAUAUAUGUGGCUAAAAUUAAGAAUUAUAAAUCUUUAAUUUUAUUUUUUCGAAAUGAUGAUUAAUUUUCUGUAUCUUUGAAUAAUAUCAAUUAUUAUAAUAAAAAUACAACGUACUAUCUUUUUCGUCUUCAUCGUCGUCAUCCUUUUCUAUUAUUAUUAUUAUUAUUAUUAUUAUUAUUAUUAUUAUUAUUAUUAUUAUUAUUAUUAUUAUUAUUAUUAAGAAGUUUACUUUAUGUUUGACUCAAUUAACAAAGUUAUGUUUGAGCAUGGUUAUGCCCAACAUAUGAAUUCUUAGAAACAUAGAAUCUGAAGUGAAAAAUUAUAACUUCGAAUUGAUGAACAAACUGUCUAUUUGAAUGACUAAAUUAUUUAACUUCAAAUAUUAUAUAUUUGUAAAAUCUCAAAACUUGAACAAUUAAAAUUAGUUAGGUCGACACGAUCAUAUCUUAAUUAAAAUUUUCUUACAGACGAUAUUCGUGGUGUAUAUUCUAAAUUUGAUAUUUUUAUUAGUUUUGCAUAUCCAGAUUCUGUUAGAAGAAUUAUAAUACCAAACGAAGGCUAAAUAUCAAAUUAUCAAUCGAAUAUACUUAACUUUGUACUUUUUCUGUUUCAAUUUAUUUUUUUUAUUUUUUAAAUUUGUUAUAUAUUUAAAAAUUACAUAAAAAAAAAAACUAUAAAUCAUAACUAUUGAGUAACAAUUUAAAAGAUUUUAUUGACUCUUAAAAUUAAUGUCACAUAAAUUGAGAAAGAGAGAGUGACAUAUAUUAUGUGAAAAUUACAUUAAAUAUACUAUAAAUCAUAAUAAUUAAUAACAUUAAAUAUUUAAAAACCAUACAAAAUAUUUGGUUGACUCUCCAAAUUCCACCAGUGUCACAUUACAUUUAUAGAUGUUCACUUUCAGUGAGUAAUUAAUUAACCUUCUAAAAAGAGUAACAAUCAAAUUUGACUCUUGAUAUUAUGUCUAAGUCUUUAAAGAAAGUGUCAAGAUUAAGAUUUUAAUAGAGUUACUUAUCAAUUUUUAGGAUAAUAAAUUCAACUAUUAGUAUUAUUUAUGUUAAGUAUUUUAAAAAUUAUAUAUUUAAAAUUUUGGUCCAAGGUAUACUAUUUGCUGUCAUUCAUGGAUUUUGACAUAUAUAUUUAUAUUACCAAUCAAAAAUACUAGGUGCAGAUGAACACUAUGUUACAACAUUGCACAUAUCCUUAGUAGUUAUUAUUAAUAUAUUUUUAAAAAAUUUAUAUAAAAGAAGGUUAAAUUAACUUGCGCACAUCUCUGAACAUUUUAGUUGUAUACCUACAACUUAAUUCUCUUAAUAGUUAAAAAGAAAUAUCUCUUUACUUUUUCAUAUUCUAACCUUUUUUUUUUUUUUGACAAAAUUAUGAUUCUCACUAACAUUAUGCGUGUAUGAUGACAGUUUGUGUAGUAGAAGAAAAAUGUACACAUUCGAAUUAUUACAAUCGCGUAUGCAGUGAAAUAUCUCCAUUUGCUAAUGAAGUAUGCGAAGCUUUUUGCAUUAAACGAUUUGGACGAAUUUGUGAAGCAAAAUGUAUACCAGAUUUGGUAUGUCCAGAAAACAUAUGUCCCUAAAAAUACAAAAUUGUAUUUGCUUAUUUCUCUGGAAAUAAUUAAUUUCCUACCUUUUAAUAAUUUGAAUUAUUAUAAUGAAAAUUAAAACUCUAUCUUCUUUGUCAUAAUUGUUGUCAUCUUUUUCUUCUUUUAUUAAUGUGAUGCGUUAAAUUUGUGUUUAAUUUAAGAAAUUUAUGUUUGAGCGUGUUUAUGAACGAAGAGUUGUAUUUCACUACAAAUAAUCUAUAUCAGCAUAUUUAUACCAUUCUAAAAGUGAAAACUAACAAAGUGAAAAAGUUAAAUAAUUAGGAUAUCUAUUGAAAGUUGAACUACUUUUUUUCUUUCGAAAGCUAAAUUAAUUAUCAUAAGGUAAGGUUUGAAAAAGUAAUUUCAACUGUUUUCUUUUUAAAGACAAUUUUUUUGUUGAAAAUUAUUACUGAAAGAGAAUAUUUUAAUGAUUUGACAGUGCUCAAUUCAAACAUGUGAGUACGGUAGAUAAUAUUCUUUGGUGUAUGUUCUAUAUGACUAUAUUCUUUAUUUUAAUUAUUUUGGCAUAUCCAAAAUUUGUUAGAAAGAUCAUAAUUCCAAACUAAGACUAAAUAUCAAAUGAUUAAUCCAAUACAUAUUCCACAAACAAGUUAAAUACAAGAAAAUUGUGUUAACACCAUGUUGGAUUGCGAGUCAUGGGUCGUCUAUGUGGAUCGAUCCGACUCGACCCGAAUUCCUUUUAUCUGAAGAAAAAAGAUGAGAUUAUAUUUUUUAAAUUUUGUAGGAACAUUUACAAAUAGAAACUGUCAACAUCCCCUUAUAUGUUCCAAUAUGUACAUCUUCUUCAUUAGUUAAAGUGAGUGACGAAAAUAAGAACACAAAAGGAAAAAAAAUAAGAAAAGUGUUGUGACCAUUUCUUGACAUCAACAAAACAUCUAAGAGUAUAAGGCAUUUAGUUUAUGGAUUUACAUUCCGUUUUCAAGAGAAAUGAAAUUGACUUGAAGCGAUUCUUUCGGUGGCAAAAUCAUCUUCUUUCGCUGCAACAGAAAAAGGUAAACACUGAUUUUUCUCCGAAUUUUUCUAUCACACCACAAAAGGGAUUGCCUGCUAGCAGACUAAACCGAGAAAAACAAUAUCGAGGAUAUCAAAUUAGCCACAUGUAGAUGUAUUGUAUCUGCAAUGAGCAGAAAUCCCACUCAUGACCAAAACGCCGAACAAACACUCAAAUAUGAGAGCAAGGGAUCUCCCAUGGACGAGUUAAAAGGAGGGAGGGAGGCGAGAACUACGUUUCGGAGAUCUAAUUCAAUCCGGUUCGAAUCUUAUCUGAACUUCGAGAAUAAUUGACUAAGUCGUGCCAUAAGAGGGACGGGGUCAAGCCUUUAGAUUAUUUAAGUAGGUUGGGUGACAGAUCGGUCAUAGAACCUAGGCAAUCAAAAAUGUUCGAAAAAUCAUGUUUGAGUAGAAAUUUAAUUAAUACAAAAUUAAGCAUUACAAAAGGUCCUUAAUAAUUAACAAUUGUUAAUGAUACUGCCUUAACUUGAUGUAAAAAUUACAUAUAUAACAAUAUGUUUACUAGUAUUUACCAUAAACCUCAAUUAUUUUCAAAAUUUCAUUAAAUCCCAAUAUUUAGCCUUUGAAAAUACAUAUAAUCUAAGUUAGAUACGUCCUACAGAUACAUGCAUUAGGUAAACUAAUUAGCAUGUUUUAAGGGAUGUAACGGCUAAACUAGCAUUAAUAUAGCAAUUAACCUAACUAAUUGUGGUAAAAAUUAAAUAUUAUCGCACGAAAUAUGAUAAUUAGUUUGUUAUUCCACCAUUUUAAAUAAGAAUCUUUCUAUAAUCAAUUUCUAGAUUGCAAAAAGUUUAUACGUUCCAUCAAAAAAAAUUCAUACGACCUCUUUUUAUUUCAGUUUUUUUUUUUAGUAUUUGCAAUGAAUAUUUCAGUGUUGUUACGUCAUUCCAAUGUUUGGAUUAACGAUAUAAAGUACGAGGAGUAUAAAAGCGAUGGAAUCGUGGUUAGUGAACAUGUAACUUACGAUAAACUAAUUUCGUCAAUUGUUGUAGAACUGGAAAUUGAUGAAAGUAGGAAAAAAUUGAGGCUCGUUACAUAGUUGAUGGCAAUGCGGCACCAUUGUUGAUUCAUAAUGAGAUGGGUGUGAAGCUUUAUAUCGAAAUUAAGAAAAGUGAACCUGGUUUUGGAACGUAUCCACUUAUCAUCACUACAUUAGUUAAGUUUGCUAGUGAAAUGUUGUUUGAUGGGAAAGUUGAUGCAGUAAUGUGUUUGGAAAAUCCAUGAGAGGAAGUUGCGGGAUUAAUUAGUUAUAAAUCUAAUUGUUCUGCUCCUUGCCAUUGUUCGAUAUGAAAGGGAAUAAGAUCAUUACUGAUUGCAAACAUAGUGAAGUUAAGGUUGGGCAAAUCUACAAGGACAAGUGUACUCUAAUUUCAGUUAUGGCAAGGUAUGCAAUUGACCAUCCCUUCAAUUUCUAUGCGAAAAGAUCGGACAAGAAAAUAUAUGUAUCUUCAUGUAUCAGUUGUAGUUAAUUAUCUAUACUUUAAUGCAUUAUGUAUCUAAUGUUUACUAAAUAAUUUUUGUUUAUACAAUUUUACCAAAAUUAGUGUACUUAUGUUAAUAAGGCGGAGAUAUAUUUUUAAUGUUCAUAAUACAUUUUUCCUCUUCUUGUAUCUAAGGAAUUUUGUGAUGGACCAAGUGGUAUCUUUUUCCCUUGAAUUAAUAUAAACUAAUGGGGCAAAUUAGAAUAUCUCCCAUGAGUAAUUGAUUAACCUUCUAAAAAGUAUUACAAUCAAAUUUUACUAUUGAUAUUAUGCUUCUUUAAAGAAAUGUCCAAAUAAUAGAGUUACUUAUCAUUAGCCUGACUUGUAUACAAAUUAGAUAUUGAAGCACAUGGCAGCAUGUGUUCAAUAUGUCUUUUUUUAAAAAUUUAUAUGGUAUAGAUGAAAUUUGAAAAGUUAAUAAUUUUUUUUAUAAUUCUUUAAAUAUUUUACGUUAUUAGUUAUUGAUUUGGUAGUAUUUUUACAUAAUUUUCAAAUACUAUAUGCUAUAUUUUUUGCUCCAAUUUAUGUGACACUGAUGGAAUAUUUGAGAAGGUCAAUCAAAUUUGUUAUAUAUAUAUUUAGAUAUUUUAAUUUAUUAAUUAUAGUGUGAUUUAUACGACUUUCUAGAUAUUUUUCAAGUAAUAUCUCUCUAUCCCAAUUAAUAUGACAUCGAUAGAAUUUGAAAAGUCAAGCAUGUCUUUUAUACAUCUUUUAAAUAUUUUAGAUUGAUAAUUAUUGUGAUUUAUAUUAUUUUUCAUAAAAUUUUCAAAUAAUGUAUCCCAAUUAAUGUUGCAGUAUUGUGAUUUAUUUUACUUUUUAUGAAAAUUUUAAAUAAUAUAUCUCAAUUUAUGUUGCAUUAAUAAAAUUUUGAGUCAGCCAAAUUUUUUUAUGUGUAUUCAAAUAAUUUAAAUUAAUAAUUAUUAUAAUUUAUAAUAUUUUUUUGCACAAUUUUUAAAUAUAUAACAAGUUAAAGCUAAAAAUAAAAUAAUUACAUUAAAAUUUAAGCAAUCAAAUAUAUUUUUAAUAUAUUUUUAGAAUUUUUAAACUGUUAGCUAUUGUAAUUUAUAAUAGUACGUUUUUUGGUAUUGUAAUUUAAUAUUUUAAGUUUUUAGCUAUUAUAAUUUAUAAUACUCUCAUUGUUUAAAUUUUUGUGGCAUUGAUAGUCAAUUAUAUUUUAAAAAUAGUUGAAAUAUUUUAAUUAUUGUGAUUUAUAAUACUUUUUCUUCUAUUUCAAUUUAAGCGAUAAUGAUAUAAUUUCAAAAGUCAAUCAAAUAUCACCAUUGAAGAAGCGAAUCAUAUAUGUAUUAAAUGAUGACUCAUAAUAACGAAUUGGAAGUGAUAUAACAAAAUUACUGUAAAAAUACUUGUGAAGAAAAAAAAUUUAAGUGGGUUUCAUAUAAGACGCCAGAUUUAUUUCAUAUAUCAAUAUUUAAUUUAUUAUGUCCAUUUUUCUUUUUUAUUAAAUAUUGUUAAUUUUUUCAUACUCAAAUGACUUAUAAUAAUUAAUUAGGGGUCAUAUAAUAAAACUACAAUUGAAAUAGCUGAAGCAAAUAUGUCAUAAAUAUCUAUUUUAUUUUUUAUUAAAUAUAAUUAAUUUUUAAUACAUAAAUAAUAUGCAAUAAUUAAUUAAGAUGAUAUAAUAAAAUUACGAAACAAUCAUCAGCUCUCUACUUGAGCUGGCACCCCCCCACCCCCAAACCAAAAAAAAAAAACAAGCAAUAUCAAACUAAUCUUUGCUUUUUUAUUGAUAUUGCAUUAGGUAUCCUAAGACAAUAAACUACUAUAGCAAAGGCACAAAUCUAAUAUUUAAUUUUAUUGUUUCAAUUCUUAGUACUACUUUUGAAAAAAAAAAAAAAAAAAGGGGUUCAGACAUAGAAUUUUUUUGAUAAACGUUACUACUACAGAGAAGUUUGACUGUAAUGACGGACAAAUCUUGACUACUAAUAAUAUUAUGUCAACUAAUUAACUAUCAGUAUAUUGACAAUCAAAUAUGAUAAUUAAUAACAUGUCAAUAUUAACUAUUGAUAUAAUGACAAUCAAAUCUGACUAUUAAUAUUAUGUCAAUUUAACUACAGGUAUAGUGUCUCGUCUUUAAAGAAAUGUCCAAAUUGAGAUUAGCCCAACUUAUAUAUAAACAAGUAGUGUAUACACUAAAAACUCACAAACUACUCUUUGCAUUUUAUUUUUUUUGGUGAAAGAAAAAUGACAGUGUCUUCAAAAAUCUUUUCAAUCUUAGUUGUCCUCGCUGCCAUUGUAUUCUCUUUUUUCCUACAAUCAAUUAUUAUAGCAAAGCACAAAAAUAAUAUUUUACUUUAAAUUAUAGGUUCAAACAAAUAAUUUAUUGGGCGCGAGCGAGUUGUUUGAAUGGUAAAAGUGGUUGUAAGUUUGAGUGAAGCAAAAAAGUGUGAAAGCUCCUAACACUCUGUUUGGAUCGUGGUUUGCAUGAUUUCAUAAUGUAUGGUACAAUAUGGUAUGGUAUGAUACUGUAUAGUAUAAUACAAUACAAUGUUUGGAUAAACUGUAUCGAUCACUGCUGUUUAAUAACAAUUUUUUUGUUUGAUUUGAUGGUAUGGUACUGUAUCGUAACGAGUAAGUUUACUAAAAUAAUUAGGGUAUUUUCUUAUUAACUAUGAGCAGGAUUUUGGAUAUUGAUGUUCGAAUUAACUAUGCAUCAUAAUAAGUACAAUUAUGCAUCAAGAAACUUAAUCGAAUGCAGCUUUUGGAGUUUGAAAUUGAACACCUUUGCUCAUUCAGUGGGAUGAUGAGCACUAAAACUAGUAGCAUUCGACCCAUUUCAACUGACUUCAGUUAUCUAGCAAUCCAUGAAAAAUUUUGAGCUAAAGCAUCUCUAUCCAUGGAAAAAUAUUUGACCACAUAAUUUUUUUAAAAUUAGAUAUUGUUCCUUUGUUCUAGUAUUAGUUAUAGCUGAGAGUUAACACUGAUGGGAGAGAUUCAGUGUUUCAUUACAACGAGACAGCUGGAGAAAGGGUAAUAAUAUCCAUUAGUUACCCCAAUCAUAAAAAAUGGGCAAAAUGGAUCUUUGCAUCAGUUUAUUAUUUAUACCGCAUAACACCAAUUAACAAGUAAUAAUUCUUUCACAUGUCUCUUUAUCAUAGCAUUUUUUAAUGAAUAUAGUUGACUUAAAUCACUGCAAAUCAUGACAACCAAAUCUGCAGCCCCACUUGGUUUUUGGAAUUGUACCACGAGCGUCGAAGAAGAAAAAAGCGGAAGAAGAAAAAGGAGUCAGAGAAGAACAACACAAUAAAGAGCAGAGAAAGACUGAGAGCAGAAAAGCAUAAGAAUUAGUAAUAUAGGGUAAAGAGUAAAAUAGGAUUAAAUAAAAUUAUAUAAGGGCAUAGUUGGAAAAGAAAAAGGAAAAUUAUGGAAUACCACCAAAUUGGUGGUUCAAAAAAUUGGGGGAUUUCAUGGUUAUCAAACCAUGAAAAAAUACCAUACCAUACCAUCCCUUUUAGCAAACAAUCAAAACAAAUAUGGUUUCCAUGAUAACCAUACCAUACAUGGGAAACCACCAUCCAAACAGACACUAAAAAGGCGUACGAAUAAACAUACCAUCUGUUGUAAACACCUCUAAUUAUAUUCUCAAUAUCUAUUAUUAUUAUUAUUAUUUUAAUUUAUAUUAAAAUAAUUAAAUUAACUUGUGCACAUCUCCAAGCAUUGCAGUUACAUAUUCGUAUAAAAUAAUUUAUUUAUUUAUAUUUUAAUUUUUUUAAUAAAAAAUUUAAUUCCGUCACUGACCGGUGUAUAUAUGACAGGUUGUGCAGCACAACCAGUAAAUUGUACUGAGUCAUAUUGUGAAGUGACUUAGCCGAAAGUAUGCAAAGAUUAUUAUAAGAUAGAACAAUGCGAAUAUUUUUGCAUGGGACGAUUUGGAACAAUAUGUGAGGCAGAUUGUAUAUUAGAUGAGGAUUCAGUUUUGGUUUGUCAAUGUUUGAUACCACAAGACAAAUGUCCCUAAAUGUAAGGAUAAUUUCCUACCUUAUGAUAAUUUCAAUUAUUAUAAUGAAAAUUAAAGAUGUUGUUUCUUCUUCAUCCUCGUCUUUUUCUUCUUGUUAUUAUUUACAUUACUUCCUAUUUUCCUAAUAAGAGAGAAAGCACACAGCUGAAGCAAACAAAUGGUCAACAUAUCUGCUUCAGCUGUGUGCUUAAAGAAUGAAAGUGGUGUUUGGUUUGGUGGAUGAAGCCACAAUUUUUAUGUCAAGUGUCUUGAGGUUGAACCUCAAUAGCUACGCUAUUUUUAUCUCUCUUUAUUUUUUCUUUUUUUAUAUUGUAGUAAUUCACAUAUUUCUUUCAAUUGUGAAUAAUUGUAAAUCUUUUCUUCCAAUUUUAAAUUACUGUAAAUGUUUUUGGAGUAAAUGAACAUAAACACACAUUUUUUCGUUUCAAUUUAUGUGAAAUAGUUUAAAUUUUGAUAGUGAAAUGUUUAAAUUUAAUUAUGGAUUCGAAUAUACAAUCUUCAUUUUUUAAAAAAUAAAAUUAUAGAGUAUAUUUGAGUCAAAAUGAUUGAUAAUUCAAAAUAUUUAAAAAUAUAUAUACAAUUACUCUUUAAAAUAGGUUUGACUGGAUUUUUAAACUCGAAAGAUGCCACGUAAAUUAAGAUUGAGAGUAAUAUACAAGAUCAAUUUUUUUUUUAAUAAUUGAGUUGAUGUUAAGUAUUUCUCACUUCCUAUUCGAACGUUGUGAGUAGGGGUGCACAUAGGUCGGAUUGAUUUGAUCUUUUAUUAAAAAUAAAAAAUCAAACCAAUCAUGUCAUUUUUUUUUAAAACUAUAAACCAAAUCAAACCAACAUAAAAUUGAUUUUUCUGGUUUAGGUUUUAGUCGGUUCUUUCAAUUUUUUUGAUUUUUUUCGUUUUUUUAUAAUCUUUAGUUUUUACAAUUAUAUUAUUAUUGAAGACUAGAUCAAAUAUGUUUUCACUCACGUGCUAAUGAAAAAAUGAGGAGCAAAAAACCCUCUUAAAACUAAAAAGUAAGAUGAAGAGUGAAAAAUUUAGGUUUUAAAUUUAUAUUGGGUUUUAGAUGAUUUAAUUAGCAAUUAAUGAAUAAACAUUACAAUUUAAAGACCCAAAUCUGAAUAUAUAUUUACAUCUACUUUCUAAAAUAUUGAAAAUUAAUAAAACUAAUUGAAAAGGUACUUAAAAGUAGAUUAUAAUAUAUAUAUAUAUUAUAUCGGUUUGAUUUGAAUUCGAUUUGAUUUUUUUUUAUUAAUACCAAACCAAAUCAAGAAUGGUCGAAUUUUAUUUCUAACGCCAAACCACCAAACCAAACCAAAUCAUAAGUCCAUUUUUUUUCUCAAUUUGAUUUGAUUCAUUAGUUCGAUUUGACUUGACAGUUUGGUUUGUACACCCUGAUUGUGAGUUUCAGUACUAACAAGAAAAAAGGUGAAAAUCUAAGAGAGGAAUUAAAAAAAAUAAGAAAGAGAAAGUGAACCUUUCAAUUCAUUGAAUUAAUGAUCAUUUUACAUUAUCCAUAAGAAUAUGCAUAUAUAAUUUCUAAUCUACAUUUGCAACUGAAAGAAAAAUAGAGAUUUAGGAAGAAGGUUCAAUCUUUUUGUUUUUUUAGGGAAAAGAACAAUAAUAGUCUAUCGGUCAAAACAAAUUUCAUUAAAAUAGUUUUAGGGGUCGUUUGGUAGAGUGUAUGAGACUAAUACAAAAUAUGAUGUAUUAAUAAUGUUUGUAUUAGUAAUGCUUGUGUUAGUUAUGCUUGCAUUAGUUAUACUUGUAUUUUUCUUAUGUAGUGUUUGGUUCGAUGUAUUAAAAAAAACAUGAAUUACAUAAUUUAAAAAAAAAAAAAUUCUUUUACACAAUACCCUCAAUAUAUAUGUUGGAAAUGAUGCGAAAAUUUUUUUGAGGGGUACUAGGGUCUUUAAGCAUAUUAAUGCAUGCAUUAGAUUCAUUGCAUUACUAAUGUCAUGGAUUUUGAGCUAUUAAUAAUACACACCUCAAUACACAAUAGAGUGUAUAACUAAUAUUUACAUUAGUUAUACAUAGGGUAAAAAGGUAUACCAAACAAGGUACUACUAAUACACAUUAAACUAAUGCAUGCAUUAACAUUGUAAUACACUGUACCAAACGACCCCUAAGAGGUUGCAUUUUCAAGUUGUAACCAUAUGAAGAACGUCAGUCGCUGACAUGUGCGUUAAGGCAUGCCCUAUUUUUUUGGCAUUGUUAAUUUCUGAUUGAUCCAUGCUUCUUUUUUCUUUUAAUUUUUUUUUGGUUAUUGCUUUACUUUUUCUUCUUCUUUAUUUAAAAGAAUAACUGAACUAUUUUUUUUUAAUUCCAUCAAAAUAAAAACAAUCAAUAAUUAUAGAAAUUGUUGUAUAAAAGUUUUUUUGUUCAAGUGCAUUUUAAAAAAAAAAUGUAUUAGUGCAUAUUUGAUAUCAAAUACACACACAUAUAUACUAGUUUAAUCGCACGUGUCUCGCAUGUAGAAUAUAAAUUAUUUAUAAUUAAAUAAUUUUUAUCUAUUGCGGAGAUUUUUUAUGAAGUACAAAAGUUCAAAUAACUUUUUAAAGAUGCUUCACACGUUAAUAUAAUAAUAUAAAAAUAAAUACUAUAUAAUUUAGUGUAAGCACAUAUGUAUUUGACCAUCAAAGUUCUAAGUAGUUGAUGGAUCAUCACUUUUGCGUUCGUCAUACAACGCCUUUUUUCAUGCUGUCAGAGGUAAGAAGAUGCAUCAAUUUGAACCAUAUUUGAGGUAUGAUUAUUUUUUUCUAUAUUUAAAAUCUUUCUAUUAAUUUUAAAGUCAAAUAUUUACAAAAUCAUUGAUUACAUAUUUGUUAAGUACUUGAAACUUUUAAACUUUACUACUUUUUAAUUUUUUUUUUUAUUCUAACGCUUUUAUAUUUAUUUUAAAUUUUCUUAAAAUCAAAUAUAGUUGAUUAGAAUUAUUAAACUAACGAAAAAAGUAUUAGUCAUCAUUAAUUAUGACAACUUUUAAUAAGGAAAGGUUUUAGUAUGCAUAUUUUUAUAGAUGUAUUUUUCUAAUCUGAAUAGGUUAUUUCAGUAGUACAAAUAAUAAUAUGCAUAUUUUUAUAGAUGUAUUUUUCUAAUCUGAAUAGGUUAUUUCUAUAGUACAAAUAAAAUAAUUAUAAGAAUUAUAAUUCUUAAAAAGCUCUUAAAGCUAAAGUAAUUUAUUUUUUUAAAAGACUAAACGCAAUACUUACUUGACUAUACUUAGCUUGUUCUGAUGUACACGUGUAGAUUGUCUGGUUGGGUUUGAGUUUUGAUGUCAACGUGCUUGUUUCGUCCAACUUUUGAUCAAAAAAUUUUAAUUGAAAGAGAAACAUAAAAAAUUAACAAAAGUUUUACUUGUAAAACUACUUGUAAAACUAACACAAGAAAUCAUCUGAAAGACAAACUAUUGACAUAUAUAUAUAAUAGUUCAACGAAGGCAAACAAUAAAAGAAGAAAGAUAUGAAAAAAUGUACAUACUUGUGAUACAAGUCAAAUGGCCACCUUAAUUUUUGAAAACAUGAUUGGAGGUCAUCAUUUAAAGGCUCAAGACUUAGUCACCCUGAGGGCACAAGAAUAUGCAAGGAAGACCCGUUUUAAGCACAAGCAAGGCCAUGUGUUGAAGAUUGCUUGGAGCAUCGAAGACUUGAGGACACACGGUUUUGGAAAACACUUAAUGGGUCAUGAUUUGGUCAUCUUCAUUAAGGGUAUUUUGGUCACUUCAUUGGGUCCAAAUGCACUCCAUGGCCACCCCACCCUUUAAGGGCAUUGUUGUCAUUUUGCCUUGUCUUUUAAUAGAAUAUAAAUAGAACAUUUUAAGUCUUUUUCUCAUUAGUUGUUUAUUGAUGGAAGACAAACUCUCUCUCUAGUGUAAGGAGUGUAACACCCCUUAAUUGUAGGGCUUGGAAAAGCCACCAAUCCGUAACUAGGGCUGCCCAAGUGUGGAUAUCACUUGUGUUGCAUCGUUGGCUUGAUACAUUGGUGAUUAGGGAGGUAAAGUCCCUCCUUUUUCAACGUAAGAGUUUGAUGUUAACAUUCAUUAAUCUUAGGGUCCUUACAUGUGGUUAGGGUUCUUAGAUUCUUGAAUAUUGUAUGUCAAACUAUCUAUCCAUCUCUUUUGUUAACAUUGUAUUGUUGUUGGUCUUUGAAGUCUAUUUGAUUUUGUUCUAACAAGAUCAAUCUUGGUCUUGAGAGUUGAAAAAAAAAAUAUCAAAAAAAAGAUAUAAAAAAAAGAGUUGAAAAACUGAAAAAAAAAUCCAGAAAAGGAAUAAUCUGGUCGUUCUUGUUGUUUUUGGCCGAGAAAGUUGUUGUUCUUGUUGUUGUCUUGGCCGAGACAUAUUUCUUUGUGAUUAGAUCUUGUAGUCUUUUGUUGUUUAGAGUGUUUCUAGUGUUGGUUUCUUUCUCACCAACACUAAAAAGUGUCCAAAUCUAAGCUUGAACUUGAACUUGUUGAUGUUGUUAAUGUGAACAAAGUGUGGCUGAUUUGAUGUUGUUGUCAUUCUAAGCCUUGACCGUGUUGAAGGCCCUGUUGUUGUGGAGUUGGGCGUUGGAAUUUGUUGUUGUUCUUGGGGAAUAUUGUUGUUGUUCUUGGUGUUGUUAUUGUGUUCUUGUUGUUCUUCACCCUUUUCAUCUUUUGUUAAAACAAAAAGUGAACAUUAGAUCCAUAAAAGGUGAAAGACCAAGUUGUAGUACUUGUUGGUGAAAGACUUGAUCACAUCACUCAAAAGACUUGACAACCACUUUUCACCUACUUUCCUUGAUUUAAGGACCUUGUUUCAAGGAGAAAGUACCAAGAAGGUCAAGUCUUGUUUUGAACUUGAAAAUGAAGCUUCAAGACCAAANNNNNNNNNNNNNNNNNNNNNNNNNNNNNNNNNNNNNNNNNNNNNNNNNNNNNNNNNNNNNNNNNNNNNNNNNNNNNNNNNNNNNNNNNNNNNNNNNNNNNNNNNNNNNNNNNNNNNNNNNNNNNNNNNNNNNNGCAACAUUUUGAGUUCAACUUUUAGAUUUCUUAGUUUCAUUUUAUUGUUUCUUAGUUUCGUUUGUUGGUUUGAACACUAAUUGACGACCGAGUAAUCUCCUACUAGCUUGUUAGUUAGUUUUUGUGCCCGUUUGUUCGUGCUAGCGUUAUUUUGUGCUUUUCUUGUUUUUGAAUCAUAGAAUUUCCUGGUU